CCUACGGGUGGCAGCAGUGAGGAAUAUUGGUCAAUGGGCGCGAGCCUGAACCAGCCAAGUCGCGUGAGGGAUGACUGCCCUACGGGUUGUAAACCUCUUUUAUAAGGGAAUAAAGUGCGGCACGUGUGCCGUUUUGUAUGUACUUUAUGAAUAAGGAUCGGCUAACUCCGUGCCAGCAGCCGCGGUAAUACGGAGGAUCCGAGCGUUAUCCGGAUUUAUUGGGUUUAAAGGGAGCGUAGAUGGCUUGUUAAGUCAGUGGUGAAAGUUUGCGGCUCAACCGUAAAAUUGCAAUUGAUACUGGCAGUCUUGAGUACAUUUGAGGUAGGCGGAAUGCGUGGUGUAGCGGUGAAAUGCUUAGAUAUCACGCAGAACUCCGAUUGCGAAGGCAGCUUACUAAGCUGUGACUGACACUGAUGCUCGAAAGUGUGGGUAUCAAACAGGAUUAGAUACUCUAGUAGUC
rnacentral:rRNA from 1 species